UGGGGAAUAUUGGACAAUGGGCGAAAGCCUGAUCCAGCCAUGCCGCGUGUGUGAAGAAGGUCUUCGGAUUGUAAAGCACUUUAAGUUGGGAGGAAGGGCAUUAACCUAAUACGUUAGUGUUUUGACGUUACCGACAGAAUAAGCACCGGCUAACUCUGUGCCAGCAGCCGCGGUAAUACAGAGGGUGCAAGCGUUAACCGGAAUUACUGGGCGUAAAGCGCGCGUAGGUGGUUUGUUAAGUUGGAUGUGAAAUCCCCGGGCUCAACCUGGGAACUGCAUUCAAAACUGACUGACUAGAGUAUGGUAGAGGGUGGUGGAAUUUCCUGUGUAGCGGUGAAAUGCGUAGAUAUAGGAAGGAACACCAGUGGCGAAGGCGACCACCUGGACUAAUACUGACACUGAGGUGCGAAAGCGUGGGGAGCAAACA
rnacentral:rRNA from 1 species